rnacentral:rRNA from 1 species
UUGAUCCUACGGGAGGCAGCAGUGAGGAAUAUUGGUCAAUGGGCUAAGGCCUGAACCGGCCAAGUCGCGUGAGGGAAGACGGUCCUAUGGAUUGUAAACCUCUUUUGUCGGGGAGCAACGAGGCCACGUGUGGCCGAAGUGAGAGUACCCGAAGAAAAAGCAUCGGCUAACUCCGUGCCAGCAGCCGCGGUAAUACGGAGGAUGCGAGCGUUAUCCUGAUUUAUUGGGUUUAAAGGGUGCGUAGGCGGAACAUUAAGUCAGCG